GGGUGAGGGGCUGGGCCAGGUGGCUUGACAGGUUGUGUGCAAGGAAGAGCGGUCCAGGGAUAAAGGAUGGCUGGCGUACGCGGUCUCUGAGGUGGGGGAAAGCUUGGCUCGUCCAAGGAAUGGCAAUGGCAUGAAGACGGCGAGCGGGAGAGGAGUGGCUGUUUGGACCGGGUGGUCGGAUGCACCCCAUCACGGCGGCUCUCUGCCCCAGUGCUGUGCAGGCCUAGAAGAUCUCAGGAGCGCUGGGGAGUCUCAUGCAACAGUGACGGCACCAGCGUGCUGCUCUUCAGGGCUGGACCUGCUUCCGUGUGGAGAAUGAAUUAGGGGACGGGCAGGAGAAGAUUUAGGGGACCAGACAGGAGGCUCUUUAACUGCAGAGGGUGAGAGGCCUUAAAUGAGGUAUCUCAUCUGAAGUUGACGGCCACUCUGUAAGGUCAGCGGAAAGGCAUUUCAAUCCCCUUGGUCAAGGCUACAGAGAUGGGGGUCCCCCCUCCUCGGUUUGCUUGCAGAGGUGGGUGUGAGAACCUAUAGGAGUGUCUGGAAGAGAUCCUGCGGAAGUCAUUUUGCCCAGAGCUGGAGGAGAAG